rnacentral:rRNA from 1 species
CCUACGGGUGGCAGCAGUGAGGAAUAUUGGUCAAUGGGCGAGAGCCUGAACCAGCCAAGUCGCGUGAGGGAGUACUGCCCUAUGGGUUGUAAACCUCUUUUGUCGGGGAGCAAAAGCCGGACGUGUCCGGCUGUGAGAGUACCCGAAGAAAAAGCAUCGGCUAACUCCGUGCCAGCAGCCGCGGUAAUACGGAGGAUGCGAGCGUUAUCCGGAUUUAUUGGGUUUAAAGGGAGCGUAGAUGGGUUGUUAAGUCAGUUGUGAAAGUUUGCGGCUCAACCGUAAAAUUGCAAUUGAUACUGGCAGUCUUGAGUACAGUUGAGGUAGGCGGAAUUCGUGGUGUAGCGGUGAAAUGCUUAGAUAUCACGAAGAACCCCGAUUGCGAAGGCAGCAUACCGGCGCCCUACUGACGCUGAGGCACGAAAGUGCGGGUAUCGAACAGGAUUAGAUACCCGGGUAGUC